GUUCAUGUAGCUUAAACUACCAAAGCAAGGCACUGAAAAUGCCUAGAUAGGUUUACUAACCUCAUAAACA
rnacentral:tRNA from 1 species